rnacentral:rRNA from 1 species
UCGAUGACCGAUAGUGAACCAGUACCGUGAGGGAAAGGUGAAAAGCACCCCGAUGAGGGGAGUGAAAGAGACCUGAAACCGGACGCCUACAAGCAGUGGGAGCCUCUUUACGGGGUGACCGCGUACCUUUUGUAUAAUGGGUCAGCGACUUAAUUUAACGAGCAAGCUUAAGCCGAUAGGUGUAGGCGUAGCGAAAGCGAGUCUGAAUAGGGCGA